GGCCGCCUGGCGAAAUGGCAUCGCGUCUGACUACGAUGCAUGUCAUGUGCGUUCGGACUCGUCACUCAGUCCCCCUUUCAUCCAGAUCAGGAGAUUGCAGGUUCGACCCCUGCGGUGGUCA